UGGGUGUGCUCAGAGCAGGGGGCCUGAAGAAUGGCUCCUCUGUUUACAACACACCCAACAGGAAUCUGGUGUCAUUGUGAUGAGGGGCAGAAAACUUGUGCUCUCCCUAUGAACAAAUGCCCUAUAUAU
rnacentral:snoRNA from 1 species